rnacentral:rRNA from 1 species
UGUCUUUUUGAUUAUAAUUUAAAGUUCUAUCUGCACAAUGAAUAUUAAAUUGCCGCAGUAUUUUGACUGUGCAAAGGUAGCAUAAUAAUUAGUUUCUUGAUUGGGAACUGGUAUGAAUGAUUGGACGAGAAAAUUUCUGUCUCUUGUUAAAGAAUUUUUUAAUUUUAUUUUUAAGUUAAAAAGCUUAAAUAUUUAUAAAAGACGAGAAGACCCUAUAGAGUUUAAUAUUUUUAUGUUGAUUUGAUAUUAGGAAAUUUUUUGAAUAUAAAGUAUUUAGUUGGGGUGAUUUGAAGAUUUAUAUAAUUCUUUAAAGAUUAAAUUGAUGAUUUUUAAAUUUUUUUUAUCUAAAUUUUUUAAAUUUAAAAUUAAUUACCUUAGGGAUAACAGCGUAAUUUUUCUUUAAAGCUCUUAUUAAAAGAAAGUUUUGCGACCUCGAUGUUGGAUUAAAAUAAAUUUUUGGUGCAGUAACUUAAAAAUUAGGUCUGUUCGACCUUUAAUAUUUUACAUGAUCUGAGUUUAAACCGGCGUAAGCCAGGUUGGAUUCUAUCUUUAGAUUUAUUGUAUAUUUUAGUACGAAAGGACCAAAUAUAUGUUAUAUAUUAAUUA